rnacentral:rRNA from 1 species
AUUGAACGCUGGCGGCAGGCCUAACACAUGCAAGUCGAACGGUAACAGGAAGAAGCUUGCUUCUUUGCUGACGAGUGGCGGGCGGGUGAGUAAUGUCUGGGAAACUGCCUGGUGGAGGGGGAUAACUACUGGAAACGGUAGCUAAUACCGCAUAACGUCGCAAGACCAAAGAGGGGGACCUUCGGGCCUCUUGCCAUCGGAUGUGCCCAGAUGGGAUUAGCUAGUAGGUGGGGUAACGGCUCACCUAGGCGACGAUCCCUAGCUGGUCUGAGAGGAUGACCAGCCACACUGGAACUGAGACACGGUCCAGACUCCUACGGGAGGCAGCAGUGGGGAAUAUUGCACAAUGGGCGCAAGCCUGAUGCAGCCAUGCCGCGUGUAUGAAGAAGGCCUUCGGGUUGUAAAGUACUUUCAGCGGGGAGGAAGGGAGUAAAGUUAAUACCUUUGCUCAUUGACGUUACCCGAAGAAGAAGCACCGGCUAACUCCGUG